AACCCACUUUUGGAAUUAAACCCAAAACCAAGGUACUCCUUUUAUUUAAUUGCCAGCCCAAAUCAUGAAUGGCCCAGCUCAAGCUCAAGGCCAGCCUAUUAUCCAUUAAUCCAAAACUGAAGGAUGUGGGGCGCGCGCAAAGGUGAAACAAUAAGAUAACAAGAACACAAAUGAAAUAAAAAAUAAUUAAACUGCAAAAACGUAAUAAAUGUUC
rnacentral:lncRNA from 1 species